CACUGGUUGGGAAUUGGAGCCGUUCUCCUGAUGAGCCCAAGGCAGGGCGAAACUAGUC
rnacentral:hammerhead_ribozyme from 9 species